UUCUAUGUUUGCAAUAUAAAUCCCAUCCUGAGCGUAUAUAAAAGGUGUUGGGCGGUAGUAGGCAAUGCUGCAGAUGACGUGCAUGUACACGCGUGUGCGCAUGCACCAUGGCGUCCACCCACCGUCAUCUGCACAUCACCCACCCACCCCCCACACUACCUCCUCGUUCCCACAUCGUGUAUGCGAUUUUGUUAAUGAUCCUUCCGCAGGUUCACCUACGGAAA
rnacentral:misc_RNA from 1 species